GACGAACGCUGGCGGCGUGCCUAAUACAUGCAAGUUGAGCGCUGAAGGUUGGUACUUGUUCCAACUGGAUGAGCAGCGAACGGGUGAGUAACGCGUGGGGAAUCUGCCUUUGAGCGGGGGACAACAUUUGGAAACGAAUGCUAAUACCGCAUAAAAACUUUAAACACAAGUUUUAAGUUUGAAAGAUGCAAUUGCAUCACUCAAAGAUGAUCCCGCGUUGUAUUAGCUAGUUGGUGAGGUAAAGGCUCACCAAGGCGAUGAUACAUAGCCGACCUGAGAGGGUGAUCGGCCACAUUGGGACUGAGACACGGCCCAAACUCCUACGGGAGGCAGCAGUAGGGAAUCUUCGGCAAUGGACGAAAGUCUGAGCGAGCAACGCCGCGUGAGUGAAGAAGGUUUUCGGAUCGUAAAACUCUGUUGGUAGAGAAGAGCGUUGGUGAGAGUGGAAAGCUCAUCAAGUGACGGUAACUAACCAGAAAGGGACGGCUAACUACGUG
rnacentral:rRNA from 1 species